rnacentral:rRNA from 1 species
GUUAGCUUCGGCACAGACUCCUACGGGAGACAGCAGCAAGGAAUCUUGGGCAAUGGGCGAAAGCCUGACCCAGCAACGCCGCGUGAGGGAUGAAGGCUUUCGGGUUGUAAACCUCUUUUCACAGGGAAGAAUAAUGACGGUACCUGUGGAAUAAGCUUCGGCUAACUACGUGCCAGCAGCCGCGGUAAUACGUAGGAAGCGAGCGUUAUCCGAAUUUACUGGGCGUAAAGUGGGCGUAGGCGGCCUUUCAAGUUGGAUGUGAAAUCUCCUGGCUUAACUGGGAGGGGUCAUCCAAUACUGCUAGGCUUGAGGACAGCAGGAGAAAGUGGAAUUCCCGGUGUAGUGGUGAAAUGCGUAGAUAUCGGGAGGAACACCAGAGGCGAAGGCGGUUUUCUAGGUUGUCACUGACACUGAGGCUCGAAAGCGUGGGGAGCGAACAGAAUUAGAUACUCUGGUAGUCCACGCCUUAAACUAUGGACACUAGGUAUAGGGAGUAUCGACCCUCUCUGUGCCGAAGC